rnacentral:rRNA from 1 species
GAUGAACGCUAGCGGGAGGCCUAACACAUGCAAGCCGAGCGGUAUUGUUUCUUCGGAAAUGAGAGAGCGGCGUACGGGUGCGGAACACGUGUGCAACCUGCCUUUAUCUGGGGGAUAGCCUUUCGAAAGGAAGAUUAAUACUCCAUAACAUAUUGAACGGCAUCGUUUGAUAUUGAAAGCUCCGGCGGAUAGAGAUGGGCACGCGCAAGAUUAGCUAGUUGGUGAGGUAACGGCUCACCAAGGCGAUGAUCUUUAGGGGGCCUGAGAGGGUGAUCCCCCACACUGGUACUGAGACACGGACCAGACUCCUACGGGAGGCAGCAGUGAGGAAUAUUGGUCAAUGGGUGCAAGCCUGAACCAGCCAUCCCGCGUGAAGGACGACUGCCCUAUGGGUUGUAAACUUCUUUUGUAUAGGGAUAAACCUACUCUCGUGAGGGUAGCUGAAGGUACUAUACGAAUAAGCACCGGCUAACUCCGUGCCAGCCGCCGCUGUAAUAC